UACGUAGGGUGCAAGCGUUGUCCGGAAUUAUUGGGCGUAAAGAGCUCGUAGGCGGUUUGUCGCGUCUGCUGUGAAAACUCGGGGCUUAACCCCGGGCCUGCAGUGGGUACGGGCAGACUAGAGUGUGGUAGGGGAGACUGGAAUUCCUGGUGUAGCGGUGAAAUGCGCAGAUAUCAGGAGGAACACCGGUGGCGAAGGCGGGUCUCUGGGCCGGAACUGACGCUGAGGAGCGAAAGCGUGGGGAGCGAACAGG
rnacentral:rRNA from 1 species